CAGCAGCCGCGGUAAUACGUAGGGUGCAAGCGUUAAUCGGAAUUACUGGGCGUAAAGCGUGCGCAGGCGGUUUGUUAAGACAGAUGUGAAAUCCCCGGGCUCAACCUGGGAACUGCAUUUGUGACUGGCAAGCUAGAGUGUGGCAGAGGGGGGUGGAAUUCCGCGUGUAGCAGUGAAAUGCGUAGAUAUGCGGAGGAACACCGAUGGCGAAGGCAGCCCCCUGGGCCAACACUGACGCUCAUGCACGAAAGCGUGGGGAGCAAGCAGGAUUAGAUACCCCGGUAGUCCCUGUCUCUUAUAC
rnacentral:rRNA from 1 species